rnacentral:rRNA from 1 species
UACGAAGGGGGCUAGCGUUGUUCGGAAUCACUGGGCGUAAAGCGCACGUAGGCGGAUUGUUAAGUCGGGGGUGAAAUCCUGAGGCUCAACCUCAGAACUGCCUUCGAUACUGGCGAUCUUGAGUCCGGAAGAGGUUGGUGGAACAGCUAGUGUAGAGGUGAAAUUCGUAGAUAUCAGCUAGAACACCAGUGGCGAAGGCGGCCAACUGGUCCGGAACUGACGCUGAGGUGCGAAAGCGUGGGGAGCAAACAGG